CCCGUAGCUCAGCUGGAUAGAGCGCUGCCCUCCGAAGGCAGAGGUCACAGGUUCGAAUCCUGUCGGGUGCGCCA
rnacentral:tRNA from 1 species